AAACUAUGAUAUGGACACUUGCGUAGCAUUAGCUUAAAGCACUCCCAUACCUCACAUAAUGACUCUCCUUCCAAUUGCUGAAAAUUUGUAAUAUCUAUUUGAAGCUU
rfam:Gossypium raimondii Chr05_contig_627, whole genome shotgun sequence.